rnacentral:rRNA from 2 species
GGAAAAUCUGGAGCUAAUACAUGCAAUUAAUGCGUCAUAGUGUAUGCUAUGCGUAGUGCAAUCAUUAGUAAUAAUGACCAAUAUAUAUAUAUUUUAUAUAUAUAUUUCUCAUUGUUGAACUCUGGAUAAUUUCCAACCUUUUACAAUGUAAAUUGGAAGGAAAAACGUGUAUGGAUCUGCCCUAUCAACUUGAUGUAAAGAUAUUAUCUUUACAUGGUGAUAACGGGUAACGGAGAAUUAGGGUUCGUCUCCGGAGAGAAUGCCUGAGAAACAGCUUUCACAUCCAAGGACGGCAGCAGGCGCGAAAAUUACCCACUCUUAGUACGAGGAGGUAGUGACUUGAAAUGACGAGAUACAUGUGGUAAAACAUGUGUAUCAUUGGAAUGGUUGAAACUUACACCAUUUCAAGAAUUCAAGGAGAGGGCAA